GACGAACGCUGGCGGCGCGCCUAACACAUGCAAGUCGAACGAGCGAGAGAGAGCUUGCUUUCUCGAGCGAGUGGCGAACGGGUGAGUAACGCGUGAGGAACCUGCCUCAAAGAGGGGGACAACAGUUGGAAACGACUGCUAAUACCGCAUAAGCCCACGGCUCGGCAUCGAGCCGGGGGAAAAGGAGCAAUCCGCUUUGAGAUGGCCUCGCGUCCGAUUAGCUAGUUGGUGGGGUAACGGCCCACCAAGGCGACGAUCGGUAGCCGGACUGAGAGGUUGAACGGCCACAUUGGGACUGAGACACGGCCCAGACUCCUACGGGAGGCAGCAGUGGGGAAUAGUGCACAAGGGGGGAAACCCUGAUGCAGCGACGCCGCGUGGAGGAAGAAUGUCUUCGGAUUGUAAACUCCUGUUGUUGGGGAAGAUAGUGACGGUACCCAACAAGGAAGUGACGGCUAACUACGUG
rnacentral:rRNA from 1 species